UCUGGUUGAUCCUGCCAGAGGUCACCGCUAUUGGAAUUCGAUUUAGCCAUGCGAGUCGAUCGGGUUUAGACCCGAGGCGUACUGCUCAGUAACACGUGGAUAACCUUCCCUAAGGUGGGGCAUAAUCUCGGGAAACCGAGCAUAAUACCCCAUAGGUCUGGGACGCUGGAAUGCCCCCAGGCUGAAAGAAUCUCGCCUUAGGAUGGAUCUGCGGCCUAUCAGGUUGUAGUGAGGGUAGAGGCCUCACUAGCCGACGACGGGUACGGGCCUUGAGAGAGGUAGCCCGGAGAUGGACUCUGAGACACGAGUCCAGGCCCUACGGGGCGCAGCAGGCGCGAAAACUGCGCAAUGGGCGCAAGCGCGACGCGGGGAUUCCGAGUGCUGCUACAUUGUAGUAGCUGUUCAAUAUCCUAAAAAGAUUUUGGAGUAAGGGCUGGGUAAGACCGGUGCCAGCCGCCGCGGUAAUACCGGCAGCCCAAGUGGUGGUCGUUUUUAUUGGGUCUAAAGCGUCCGUAGCCGGCCUGAUAAAUCCCUAGGUAAAUCGAACAGCUCAACUGUUCGGAUUCUGGGGAGACUGUCAGGCUCGGGACCGGGAGAGGUCUGAGGUACUCUUAGGGUAGAGGUGAAAUCCUGUAAUCCUAAGGGGACCACCAGUGGCGAAGGCGUCAGACUUGAACGGAUCCGACGGUGAGGGACGAAGGCCAGGGGCGCGAACCGGAUUAGAUACCCGGGUAGUCCUGGCUGUAAACGCUGUGGGCUUGGUGUUGGGGGUCCCACGUGGGCACCCAGUGCCGGAGAGAAGUUGUUAAGCUCACCACCUGGGGAGUACGGUCGCAAGACUGAAACUUAAAGGAAUUGGCGGGGGAGCACCGCAACGAGAGGAGCGUGCGGUUUAAUUGGAUUCAACGCCGGAAAACUCACCGGGGGCGACCUAUGGAUGAGGCUCAGUCUGAAGGGCUUAGCCGAUAGUAGGAGAGGUGGUGCAUGGCCGUCGUCAGUUCGUACCGUAAGGCGUUCUGUUAAGUCAGAUAACGAACGAGACCCUCGCCCUUAAUUGCUAGCCAUAUCUCAGGAUGUGGUGCACAUUAAGGGGACCGCUGUUGCUAAAACAGAGGAAGGUGGGGUCAACGGUAGGUCAGUAUGCCCCGAAUCCCUCGGGCUACACGCGCGCUACAAAGGUCAGGACAAUGGGUUCCGACACCGAAAGGUGAAGGUAAUCUCGAAACCUGACCAUAGUUCGGAUUGAGGGCUGUAAUUCGCCCUCAUGAAGUUGGAUUUCGUAGUAAUCGUGUGUCAACAUCACACGGUGAAUAUGCCCCUGCUCCUUGCACACACCGCCCGUCAAACCAUCCGAGCCGGGUUUGAGCGAGGGCGCCUUUUAUUGGGGCGUUUCGAACUUAGGUUCGGCAAGGAGGGUUAAGUCGUAACAAGGUA
rnacentral:rRNA from 1 species